UUACCUCGCCUUUAGGCCUUAGUGCUUGUAAAACCCAUAAAACCGAAAAGAGAAAAAAGGAGGACGUUUCACAGUGUCUGAUCGCAGACACUCACACAGUCAGACUGUAGCUGUUUGAAAGGAAAGAAAUUGAAAUCUGGAAAUAGCAAUCCCUAACCCCGGAGCUCACCAUCACCAUUGUCACCUCCAUGAUGUCGCAUCUUCCGAUAGAGAUAAUCACCGAGAUACUCUCCCGAUUACCAGUGAAGUGUCUCUUACGCUUCCUCUGCAUUUCCAAGUCAUGGUAAGCCCUAAUCAAGCAUCUAGAUUUCAUCAAGUUGCAUCUCCACCGCUCCAUCGAGACUAACAGAGAUCGCACCCUCAUCCUCGAGAAAGUCACUAAUGGUGUGCCUCGUUAUUUCUUCUCCGUCCAUUUCCCAACCGAGAAUCACUUCGACAACGCCUUCAAACUUUAUCAGCCACUAUACUGUCGAGGUAAGCUAGUUCACAUUUUAGACUAUUGCCACGGCUUGGUUUGCAUUCAUCACUGGAUACAUGAAAUUGCGAUUUGGAAUCCAUUGAUCUGAAAGUAUAGGAUAUUACCAACGGAACCAAUAUCGAAAUUUUCUAGUUUCAAGUAUUCUAAAUAUAGCGAAAUAGCAUUUGGGUACGACCUGUGUAAUGACGACUAUAAGGUGUUGAGGGUUAUAGCUUUUUGUAACAGAGGUCAGCCUUUAAAGAAUUUUGAAGUGAAGGUAUAUAGUCUUAGGUCGCAUUCUUGGAGAAAGAUUGAAGAUCAAUGGCCAAAAAAGGAAUGCACAAUAUCUUCUAAUUCGGUGUGGUUGAAUGGAGCGUUGCAUUGGUUAAUAGCUGAGGAUACUCCAUAUGAUACGGAUUCUCCGCUGGGUGCAGAGUGCCUUCUUGCUUUUGAUCUUGCCACCGAGAAAUUCCGGGUCUUUAAAACACCGAUUCAACAAGAAGUUGAGUUGGGGACACGUUUGGAAGUGUUGAAAGGACAACUCUGUUUUAUUGUAAGUCCUGAUAUGGAGGCUGAAAUAGAGCAUGACUAUAAUGAUGUUUGGUUGAUGAAAGAAUAUGGGUUGGACUUGGAUUUAUAAAAUUGAGCGAGGUUCGGUGCCUUGGACUUUCAAAUAUUGCAAACCUUUAAUGUUUUCAGAGAAUGAGAAGAAAGUUUUAUUGGAGAUGCGCCAGUAUAACCAAACAAAACUUGUUUGGUAUGAAAUAGAGAAGAAAAGGUGCGAGAGGGUUAAGAUUCAGAAUUUGCCCAAUUGGUUUAGGACAGCAACUUGUGUUGGGAGUCUUCUUCUGCUUGAUGGUGAUAAUGUGAUUGAUCUGGCAGAGCAGAAGAACAAGAGAAAGAGGAAUUCAUUUUCUAACACAUGCUGGUCUUUGUUUUUGCCAAGAAUGAAAGCCCAUCAGAGGUUCCUAAUCCUAACCUGUUAGGGAAAGCAGUAGAUGAAAAUGAAAAGCAAGAAGGAUAAAAGCAUGCUGGAUACGACUU